rnacentral:rRNA from 1 species
ACGGGAGGCAGCAGUGGGGAAUAUUGCACAAUGGGGGGAACCCUGAUGCAGCCAUGCCGCGUGUGUGAAGAAGGCUUUCGGGUUGUAAAGCACUUUCAGCGAGGAGGAAGGGCUUGUAGUUAAUAGCUUCAAGUUUUGACGUUACUCGCAGAAGAAGCACCGGCUAACUCCGUGCCAGCAGCCGCGGUAAUACGGAGGGUGCGAGCGUUAAUCGGAAUUACUGGGCGUAAAGGGUGCGUAGGCGGUUGUUUAAGUCAGAUGUGAAAUCCCCGGGCUCAACCUGGGAACUGCAUUUGAAACUGGACAACUAGAGUUUUGUAGAGGGAGGUAGAAUUUCAGGUGUAGCGGUGAAAUGCGUAGAGAUCUGAAGGAAUACCGGUGGCGAAGGCGGCCUCCUGGACAAAAACUGACGCUGAGGCACGAAAGCGUGGGUAGCAAACAGGAUUAGAUACCCUGGUAGUCCACGCCGUAAACGAUGUCUAUUAGAAGACUGUAGCCUUGAGCUGUGGGUUUCGUAGCUAACGCGAUAAAUAGACCGCCUGGGGAGUACGGCCGCAAGGUUAAAACUCAAAUGAAUUGACGG